UGUGCUCCGGCUGCGACCUCGGGAGAUCAGUGUCUCCACGGUGCUCCGACGUCCAGCGGACAGACCACUCCAUCCCCGCCCCCUCCCCACACCGGGCGCCAGAUCCGGCAUCCGCCGACGCCGGAGAAGAGGGCUCCAGCCUUCAGGUACCCAUCCUUUUGAAUGUUACAACCUUGUCUUUUCACUGUGUAUGUAUUUUGGUUCUAAUCCAUCGUCCACUUUACAUCGAUCGUGUGAGAUGUCCUAUCUGAUCCGAGCAAAAUGUGGUGAUCUCUCAGCUGGCGUGGGAAAAAUAAUAACUGAACUGUUGUAUUUGGCUUAGACUACAUGCAUAUUCAAGCAAUUAGGUGUAGAGAAAUAUGAACAAUCUAUGGCCUGAGCAAAGUAAUUGUAUCUACCUGUUCCAAGUGCCUGAACAUGAAGUGCUCGUUGGUCUAAGCGCAUGACCGAGAUCCAUUAACACUUGCAAUACGCGCCACACUGAUUUGUGAGAAUGCCCUGUCUGCUCUGUUUCUUCAGCAUUUCCAUCAAAACUAAUACGGUGGUGGUUUUGGUUUAGUGAUGAACCAAAUGUAUUAGCUCGUUGGCCUUCCUUUUAUUUUGGACAAGAGGCGGCGCCUUAUGUUCAUUAUCAAACACAUUUUACAUUCAGGAUUUGGCAAUCCUUAACAUCUAGGUUGCCUAGCUUUGAAAGCAUAGGACACUGAUCACCUGUAUGUGCUAAGCUACAACAUGCCGUAUUUUUGCUCACCGCCUUGUCUGAUCUACUUACUUCUGAAGCACAGUUGUGAGCCACAGAGUUAAGGUUCCUUCCUUGGUAUGUCAUGAAUUUGUAUACGGAUGUUCGCUGUUGUAGCAAAGAAAUUUGCUAGCUGGUUUCUCAUCACCCCAAUGCCCAGGGGAAAGAAAAAUAUUUCUUGACACUGCUGCUUUGGCUGGGGUCAGAUUAUCCACCAGAAAAAUGGCCUGCUUGCAUCUGAAUUUGGAAAUUAUUUCUGCAGCAACCUGAAGGGCUAUAUCUCCUGCUUGUAACGGGGAAGUGGCAUGUUUGCCAGCUGCUGAAACAUAGAUGUUUGUUUCUACUUCAUUUUCUUCAACCUGCAUAUGUAUUCAAUGUCUGCUUUGGUUGAUCCUGCCUUGGUCUUCCUUAUUCAGGUGCAAAAAAGUGGCACUACAUUCCUACAGAUUUAGCAUUUUGGUGCUAUGUGUCAUCACAUAGAGCAUGAUUGGUUCGAUGCCAAAAGUUGGUAUGCCAAUAUUUGGCAAAUGCCAAAUGUUGGCUAGUGAUUGGUUGGCUAUCAACUUUUCUUCUCAACCUCACAAAAAAGUUGCCAACAUUUGGCAACUUUUGAUUUUGCCAAAUGUUGGCUUGCCAAAUAUUGGCAAUGCCAAUUGUUGGCAUCAAACCAAUUAUGCUCAUAAUUCCAUGAUGCCAUGCCAACUACAUUCUGCUGUACUCACGAAUAUUUUUUAUUAGCAGCAUUAUUGUAACUCUCUUUUUCUUAGUACAUCUGAAUGCCAAUGCAUUAGACAUUUUCUUUGUUUGCUACUUUAGCAUGGCAUUGUUGAUUUUUUGGAGUUCAUUGUGCUACAGCUCUCAUGACAAGCUAACUCUUAGGUGCUCCUGCAUGUAAUAUCUUACACUUCUUUCUGCACUUACCAGGGAAGGAUGGAGUCAAUGGCAAGUAUUGCUCCAAGUGCCAGGUCAACUACAGUGAUGGGACUUGAAGAUCAUGCCAAGUUGCCAACAACUUUUCCUCGCCGUCGACGGCCACCGAGCACAAGGAGGGAGACGCGCUGAACUCUCCUCCUCCCUACCGGCACUCCCACCGCCCGCCGCCAUCUCUGCCUGGCUCCCCCUUCACGGUGGCUGCACCGUUCGUUUCCUUCCCCAGAGGCCAUGGCCUCUCACAGAACUGCCUCCUCUGUGGAUGAUGAUUUGGUAUAUGCCCUGCUCUUGCUCUGCUCUGAGAUCAUUUCUUGGAUGCUAAUGGAAUCGAUUUCGUCAGGACUAUGCCAAUUAUCAGGACGAGAAGAUAGCUUGCUAUUGUCAAGAUGAUUGGGGCUUUGCUAGGCACAAGUGCGAGAUCUUGUUGGAAUUUGCCCAUCUGGUAUGAGCUUAGUGAUAGAUUGGUGAAUCAUUGUAUGCAUUGCCUGGUGUUUAACAGAACAUUGCACAAGUCACUCUUAAAAGAGGAUGUUAUGUUAACCAAGCAAUUGUCACAUGUGAAUCGAAUUUUCUGACGAGUGGUUAGUGAUUUCUUGAUAUGUAGAUAUGGGGUGCUAGAAAAGGAUGACUGCUCCUUAAAUAUAUUGCUCAUCUUUUGAAAUGAUAUGUAUGUGGCAUGCAGUUCUUAAAAAAAAGAGUGUGGCAUGCUCAAGUGUUGGAUAAGACGAUUCUGGACUUGAUGUCUAUGUAAAACAAUCCUGGACUUGAUGUCUAUGUUGAUUCUGGAAUUGGACCCUUGUGUGGAGCCUGUACGUCCUGUGUGUUUUUGUAGCUGGCUCAGCAAGUUCCCAAACAGCAUUAUACUACAAACUCAUUUUCAGUCUUGCCUAACUAUAGUCCCGUGUGUGUUUCUUUGUUACUUUUUACAGUUGUACUGAACUAUAGCAAAGCAGGCAAUCAUUUGUGUGAGUUGUACUGAACCGUGGCAAAGAUGAACCCUUUGUCUUUUCUUGCUGUUGCUUUAUACAUACACCAUCGUAACCUUAAAGUUAAACCCACUAGUGCAUGGUUUUUUUUUCUCUAUUUCAAAAGCGAUUCUAUUUUGCCUUUUCUCAAGUUUCUCAAGCAAUUAUGUUUAGUUAGCUGCAUUAUUGUGAAGCAACUAUAUCUACAUUGGAGAACUCCUAUGCUUCGUCACUUUUUUUUAUCCGAAAUGCUUGGUACUUUAACUCUGUUUUUCUACAUAUAAAAUGUAUAUUAUCCACCCCCUAUGAUUCUGACUCUGGAUGUUAUGAGCCAGUCUCAAUCUUGACUUCACUUCCUUUUUAUGCAGUAGGAGAAUCGCCGCCGUCCCCGGAUCCAACUAACCAAUGCCAGAAUGUAGAUUUUUCACCUUGAAGAACCAAUCCAAGUAUAUCCGAGCAAUGCCUUCAACAAGGUAAGGACGUAAAAACAUUGCCAUUGGCAGGUAUAACUAACACGGGUCAGACCUGGGCUUUCACCCUGGAGUUUUGAGACCGGGUGCUUGAGUAGCACCACCAUCGACGCCACUCAUGUGUUGUCGCCACCACUUUUUCGCGAUCCCAACAGCUACAUGUGAUGUGUGACCGCCACGGCUGCACAACCAUCCCUCCACGAGAAGUCGUCGCCCAUAGUUUGCAUCUCCCCGCCAAAGUCAGCCACUGGAUCUGGAGAGAGGAACCCUCACAAAGAUCUUCGGUUGGCCGCCGCAAUCAGCAGCGUGUCCAUCGCUGCAGGAUGGAGUGGUCACGGCAAGGACCAACACUAUUGGCGGAGCAUGCCGUCGUCAACUACCACCUCGUCGGAGAGAACCCUGCCCAGGCCCGUCCGCCUCUGGGUCGACAUGUCUAGGGUUGAAGCACGAAAGACAUAUCAUCAUCGCCGACGUGCGCUCGUGUGGAGCGCAACCACUGCCAGAUCGAUCAGAAGCGCAUAGCCACCAGAUCAGAAGCGCAUAGCGGCCAGAUUGGUGCCGUGCCUCCUGACCGAAGCACUACGUCCACCCCGAGCACGUUCGCCGCUGCAGGCCAGAGUGGUCACCACAAUGACCAACACCGUUGGUGGAGCACACCACAGUUGGCUACCACCUCGCCGAAGAGAACCCUGCCCAGGCCCAUUCGGCCCUAGGUCGACAUGGUUAGAGCUAGAUAGAGCACGGAAUACAUAUCAACAUCGCCGACGCGCGCCCUUGCGGAGCGCAGCCGCGGCUAUAUCAAAAGCGCACAACCGCUAGAUCGGCGUCGUGCCUCCUGACCGAAGCACUAGGAUUCAUCCCAAGCACGUCUGCUGUCACACCUCAAAUCACAUCCUCACGCCGUCGCCUCGCAUCUUCGCCAUCGUUGGAAGCCCGCAGUCGUGACACCGCGCACCAUGUCGAGGCUCACACCCACGCGAAGCUGGAAUGUCCUGCGCCGCUAGCCAACCCCGUGAGAGGGAUGAGAAGCCUCGCCGACGCCGCACUCUGGCAGCACCCUUCGGCGACGACAAGGGAGAGGAGAGGAUGGGAAGUGGCUGAGUUUUGGCGGCGCUAGGGCUCCCCAUGUCACUAGCAACGAAUGAUCUAUUUUUUGCGGCUGCUUGCCGAACUUUCCUAAGGUUAGUUAAGUAGAACUAGAGCCGCAAGUUGCAAGACUAAGAAAAACUCACCACACCUUAAGAGCGUAUGUCAUGUUGGGCAACACGCAUCUUGCCUAAGGUGUGGCUUGAACCAAACAACCACCAAAGACCCUCUACAACCCUGGUUGCCUAACUUGGGGCCCUGGACUCCCGCGAACGCGGUCGUGCGCGCCCCUUUUGUCCCUGUCCACAACCGUAACCCCCAUAUGUCCGCACCCAAAUCCAUACAUAACCAUGCAUAGGCACGUAGAUCAUCAUACAAAAGCAUAGUUCACCACUUCCCUCGCUGGUCGCUUCCCCUUGGGGUCUCGGGGGCGGCGAUUGUCUUCGGCGUUGGUGGCGGGCGAGGUGUCGUUGUCCGUCAUCUCGCUAUCCGAGGAGGAGGAGGAGGAGCUCAUGAUCCCCGCCAUGCGUCGGACGACACGGUUCUACUCCGUCGUGAGUCGUGUGGCUCUCUCCGACGCCACCGCCCUCUGCCUCGCCAACCUCUCAAACUCCUCAAGCCCGAUGUGGAGCACCACCGCAUUUUUGCGAUGCCGACGGAGGGUGUCCAUCUCCGCGACACUGAACGAAUGGCGGAUUGCGUCGCGGAGCCCCUCAUCGUCGUCGAAGGCAGGCGGCAACGGCGCGGCGCAGAUCUGAAGGACUCGCAACUGGAGCGGUUCGACACAGCCUGUGCCGCAAUCUUCAUUGCACGGCGAUACAUGUGCCCCUCGUUCUCCAGCUGCCGCAGGCUCGGCAGUGCGGGCACUAGCACCCAGCGCCGCCCGUGAGUAGCAAGUGUUGGCGGUGCUGGGCGCCAUUGGUCGCCCUACCGGCUCACCGGGGAAGGCAAGGACUGCAUAAUGCGGCUGCGGGGUGUGCCCCAGAGCUGCUGCUGCCCACCCUAGCCAUUGGUGACACUGUGGACAACGAGCUCCCGCCCUGGUCCAUCUACAAGCGGCUUAGGGCAAUGCGGCGCGCUAGCUCCUCGUCCCGGCAUGGAUGAGCUCGACAAGUCUGUGACAAGCUUAGCCUAGUCGAUCUCGUCAAAGCCGCUGUCGGAUGCGCUUCCGGCCAUGGCGGAAGGGAGGGCAGAGGUCGGGGAGGGGCCGGGAGUGGAGUGGACAGGUCGAGAGAGUGCGGUUGACAACGGUUCCGUCGUCUAGCGGGGGUAUUUGUGGGGACAGAGGUAGGAACGGUGUGGGCCAUACUAGGCCAAUCUGAUGUGGCGGCAGUGUCCGGGCACGUUUGGGCCUCCCCAUAUCCGCCCCACAUAUCAGCCCGGACGUUUGGGCUGCAUUUGGGGAGGCCGGUUGGGUGGCAUAUUUUGGUCCGGGCAGGGCUCUCGAGCGUUUGGGGCGGAUAUGGCGUGUCCGGUUGUAGAUGCUCUAAUCUGGUCAAACCUGCCAAACCUUAGGUGUGGCAGACUUAGACAAAUCUAGCCUCAACUAAAAAUCGCCUAAUUUAUCACUUUUGAAUUGAGAUAGCAUUUCAGAGCAGUAAGCUUCCGAAUUUAGACUACUCGGGAGUACAAAUAUAGAAAAUCUACCUGGCACCGAACCGCUAUACAAUAAUUUUUGGCCUUUCAUGUGUUUUUCAUGUGAUUAUUGGUUUGUUUUCGGUUUCGGUAGGAUUGACAUGUCAUCGCAUGGAAUCUAGAUCUAGUUACUCUAUUUUCGAAGCCUGUGAAUCAGAGAGGAACUUAAAAGCAGAAAAUCAUAGACAUAUGGUAAAAUGACAAUUAUAUUGCUUAGAAUCUUACAUAAGUUACCCACACAAAUAGUCAAAUCACUUGGCGAGUGCAAAUCAUGGUAGAAGGUAUAUAGCCAAGGGAAACAUAUCCAUGACAAUGACUCGGUUCAGUUUACAAUAAGGAUACAGAGAUAAUGCCCCAGUUUUAUUGAAAGCAGAGCAUCUGAGAUAUUCUCCCAGCACACUUUACUCAGUUUACUGUCUAGCUUACCUCUGCUGCGCGCUUACUUGGGAGGCUUGAAGUAGGCAUAGACAGCGAAGAAGGUCUGCAGCACGGCCAUGGAGAGCAGGAGUAGGGCCGCCAACACUGACAUGGUCACCCAUGGGUUGCUGAAGUAGUUGCGGUCAAGCGCCGCGCGCCACUUGUGCCGCCUGCGCUCCCUGUACCUGUUCACCUCGUUCAUCAGGCCGACCAGGUAGUUGUCGUCAACCGACCAGUGCACCUUCCCGACAAUGUCACUGAAGAAAUUCCAUGCAACCCGCCUGCUGCUGCUGCUGAGAUGGCUGACGAGGACGCCAUGCAGGUCCAGGAUCCUCAUGUCCUCCGCCGAGGUGAUGAGGCAGUCCAUGAAGACGGCAUAGGUGGAGACGUCACACGGGGUGUCCGGGUAGGUCUGCUCGAAUGCGAUCAGGUUCCGGAACAGCGACUCGCUGGAGUCGUUGAGCUCCAACUGUGGGAUCUCCAGCACGCCCUGGGCGAAGCUCACGUCUAGGAAGCUCGUGGCAUUCUCCCUCUUGCGGAACUGGACCCCGCCUCCUCCAGCUCGUUGGCGCACGGGAUCCACUGCAGAAACUCAUCGGUUCGGCGGCGGCGGGAAUGCUGCCGGUCGUGGUUCGGUGGGAAGCUGACGGAGAGGUAGAAGAGAUGCAGCAGGUGGUGCACGCUGCGGCAUGCGAUGGGCGACUGGUGCAGCAUCUGGGGACGAAGGGAGCGGAAAAGCCUGAGGCUGCCGGUAACGAGGAGAUUUUCGGAUUUGCCCUCGUUCCUCAGCUGCUGGAAAAGCUCUUGGAUGACGAAGAAAGGGAUCUGGUUCUCCAGCAGCAGCAGGUCCCGCGUCACCAACUGCCACACAAAGCACCUGCCGUACACCUGAGUCCAGUCGUCGUCGUCGUCGACAAUCUGAUCGCCAACGCCACCAGCUUCUUCCAUUUCCGCGCGUCGCGCGUACUUGAGCAGUCGGUGUAGGAUGAAGCAGCCGUCUAGCAGCAUCAUCUCCGCCACCUCGUCGUCGGAUUGAGCUCCGUCAGCCCUUAAGGUGCCUUGUGAGUAGGAUCCCCGAAUUUUAGGCAGGAGUUGCUUCAUGCUGGUGAAGCAUCCGUGCAGUAGCACCAGAGUCUUGGCAGGCUCCAAGAGGCGGCUGUGUCGCCUGAUGAGCUGCUGCACGCAGCACCAUUUGUAUCUGUCCAGCUGCUGCAAGCUUUCCCUGUACUGACUCCCUGUUGUAAGAGUGUCAAUCUUGGAGUACGUUCUUCCUAUGCAAACAGCAACAGGCUCAUAUUCUCCCACGGGGUUAUAGCUGUUAAUUUUAAGUUCCUGGGGGACCAUGUAGAUGGUGGGUUGCUGCGUCGAGUCACCGUGACCUGCUCCUGCAGAAGCCGCGCUGCACAAUUUCUCCAACAGUAUCUUAAAAUGGCGCUCGCCUACAUGGACGUCGUCAUCAUUUCCAGAUGAAAUUGGGACUGGCGAAUGACUGUUAGUUCCACUCCGUACUGAAUUUUCUGAAACAUAGGCAAAACAUCUUCCAUUAUCUCAUAAUUAACACGGAGUUUGAUAACAAUGUAAAAAUACCAAAGUUCAAAGUCCAAGAUGACGCCUCUAGUCGCUACUAGGUUGUUUUCAUCGCUUUUGGGAUUUCUUCUUCUUUUUUCUCCGCCUAUGCAUAGCUUCGGCUUGAAUGACUUUGUUAUUUGCCGGCGUGAUACUUUGUGUGCAUGUGUUAGUAUUGGUUGUGUGCAUCCUAAUUAUGUAGAGGCCGGAUGUGUACUCACUAUAAUUGUAUCCCUCGAUGCUAUAUCUGGAGUCAAUAAAAAACACCCUUUGUCCAAAAAAAGUUGCUAGGGAUUUCCUCCAAUGGACACCUUGAUUGCACGGAAUUUCUCACUUGGAGCUUUGAGAAACAAUGUAUCGCCGUCCAGUAGAAUGUUAGGCACCGCUCCCACGACACCACCACUCAGCCACCGUACCACCCUCGCUGUAGCCAUCUCGGAUGAAUCUCAUCUCCUGUCUGCUCCUCCGGCACCUGUCUCAAGGGAAGCUCUUAGGGCGCCAGUUUAGGACCCCGAGUGUGGAGCUCCUCUCCGUCCUUCUCUACUUCGCCGACUCAGAUCUGAUGGAUCCUGAUUCAGAGAGAGAGGCGAGGGAGAGUAGAACUGCUGGCGCUGCGAGCUGCUACGGAGCAAGACAAGCCCCGGCGAAGGCCAAGCUCAAACCCGUGAUGAGCAUCACAUGGCGAGGACAGCUGCGGUUUAGGCUGCAGGUGGGAGUAGGACUAAGUGGGACUAACCAGCCCAUCCCACUUAAAUUGCUUUAGUGGGCUCCCAUUGGACAGGGAAAAAAAAUUAAGCGGGCUAGCCCUAUUAGCCCAUUGGGAACCCACUCACCCGCCAGCCCCUUGGACAGAGGAGGCGCACUCCCACGAUUCCCACCGCCAAUGUCCACCAACUUUGUUUCUUGUAAGAUGGGGAUUGAUACUUAUAAUUACUAAUCAUGGAGAGUUAUUCUUGUUCUCUUGUAUAUAGUGAGGAAAUCAGAAGUUUAAGAUUCCUUUUGUUCUUGCAUAAUCUGCUCGAUCUGACCAAGUGCUAAUAAGUAGGUGUUCCUCUGCUCCCCUUCUAAGCCUAUAGACUGCAGAUUGUGCUAUUAUGUGGUUCAUGUAAGAUAAAGUGGAGAUACUACUGUUAGUUAAUUGGUGUAGUAGUAAAUGGAGUUAAUCACUUUUUAAAACUAAUGUUUUGUUUAUCUAGUGCUAGUAAAUUGGUAAUAUGGAGAUCAGGAAUGGCUGACCUCUUAGUUUUUGGUGCUGAAAUGGAACAAGCUGAAAUUGCACCUUAAUUCUCAGUUUUCUAUCUACGGUAGUAGUUAGCUUGCAGUAGCUUUUCGAUUUCAGGAAUCAAGGUGACAGAUGGGGGGUCAACUAAAGCUUUAGCUGAGAUAUGACAUUGAAUGCUUGAUCCAUGUCUGAUCGCUGCCAUUACCUCUCUCAAGCACUUCUUGUCAAAGGUGCAUUGCCUUUUGGUUUUCUUUUCCAUUCAGAGUGAUAUUCUCUUACAUCUGGGAAACUGUUGCAAUGCAUCAGUCAAAGGACAUGAGACCUCUUUUUUAUGUGUCUAGCUAUCAAACGUGGGUCAUAAAAUUUGUGUAACCAGUAGCCUCAUAUUUUUAUAGAAUAAUAAUUUUAUUGCUGCUUUAACCAGUGGCCUCAUGUUCUUUUCUGGAAACUCCUCAUUUUUGUAUGUGAGAAAAAUUAUACAUUAUAUGCUGAAUAUAUACCCUUGCUUGUAUCUGUAUGUAAGUGAAUCUAUAUAGGCUUUGUUGUAUCUGAACUAAAGAUGUUAGCCUUCCCUUGCUGACGUGUUUGCUGAGUGAAGUCAUGAGUGCAAAUUAACGAAAGAAACAUCGCUCCGAACAUGAAUCAGUCUGAUUGAACCUUGGUUCUGCUGUUUACUAUGCUGCAGUUAAACUAGUGUUUUUUUUUCGUUGGGCAGGUUAAGUAAGAACCUUGUUAAUCAUCGUGACCAGUUAUGGUUCUUGUUGAUUUUCUCCCUGGCCAUGAGUAGUUGAACUGUGUUUGCCCAAGUUGUAGUUGAGCUUGAGCACACCUCUGGAACUGGAAAAUGUGGGAGUUGAAUAGCAGAAUUAUUAUGCAAUGCAUGUGUUUGUAACAUGCUUGAUUAGGCUACUUGGAACCUAAGGUAUCUUGAAUAUAUAUUUCUUUUAUCUCUCAGAUAUCAAUUUGUACUUCAAAUUCAUUUUUGUUAUUCUGGCAUGAAAAAUAGCAGAGGAAUGAUAUUCUGAAGGUUUCACAUGUUAUGCCAAGGCUAUAAUAUUUUCAUUGCCAGACUAUAUUUAAAAAAAAAUGCACUGCUAACUACAGUAACUUGAUUAGAAGGCUGGCUUUCAUCCCCUUGUACAAUGUAUUCUAUUAUUUCACUACCUGCCUAUGUAGUCUGUACUGACGUCGUAUUAUAUAUCCAUCUUUCCCUGUUCUACAAAGUUACAUCACUAGCUGCUAUAAAACAUCCAUUAUCACUUCUAUGAACAAAGUAAAUCCAUAUCUACUAGAGAAUUAGUACAUCAUUUCUUGGAACAUGACAUGUGCUUAGAGUUCAAACUUCAGAAUGAUCUUUGCUUAGAAAAACAAGUUUAUUUCUCUUCAGCAGCAGUGUUCUAGUGUUCUGAAAUACAAGGAGGUGUUUGAUCUCAUUUAACAUUGAACUACAUGUACUUGCAGAGUUGCAGGGCUCUUCAACAUGCAUGCCAAAGGAUUCAACAGCUUUGAGAUAUUCGAUCUCAUGUCACCAACGUUCAGAGCAUGGACCAACAGAAAACCAAAUAACGUGAGAAGAUUUUAAAGAUAUUGAACUCAUGUCCGCCAUGUUCAGGGCUCUUCUGGAUCCUGAAGAUUAAUUAAAAUACCAAUAGUUGUCUUGCUCUGCAUUAUCCUCUGAACAGUCAAUCUAUUCAUCCUUCUGUGCAUUUGCGUUGUGUCUUGAUUAUUAUACAACUGGUUUUGUUUUAAGGCUGUAAUCGAAGGAUCAUAACAGUUAUACAACCAUGAAGUGUAAUACUGUCCCCAUGGAUUAUCCUCUGAACUUCUGAAGUGUGAUGUUUCCAAUCGUGAGUGCAUCUGCUAAGUUGGAUCCCACUUGUGCCCACAUAAUUUGCGUACGUUCUCAUGAGAUGUCCGG
rnacentral:lncRNA from 1 species